UUUUAGUAUGUGACACGGAUUAAUUUAAUAUCACUAUAUUAAUCGGUGGUAUAUAACCUUGAAGAUACCAUGGAAUUGUAAGGAUUUACCCACAAAUCGAUGGACUUCCAGUUACCACGACAAAUAUUAAUAUGUUAAACUGUAUCGCUGGUGUUGGGAAAAUUACUACUUAAAAAAAUAAGAAAUCUAGAAUGGCCGAAAGAACUGAUACAAAGACGAUGCCGCGUUUGUGGUUUGUCGUGCAAGACGAAUAUUGAAAAAUAAAAAUAGUCAGCAAUUCAGCAUUCAAUAAAAGUCAACACUCAACAAUAAUAUUCAUUAACACGGUCUUUGAUAACAACAUUAGUUAUUAUUUAUUAUAUCCAUGAGCAUUACUCAUUAGAGUUCAUGAUUAUAUGUGAACAUGGUACAUCAUAGAUAUAUAUUAUGAUUAUAUUAAAAAAUGUAUUAAUUAGAAAUUACAAAUAAAUGACAAAUGCACCGUCUGGCGGGUCGCGAGGCGAGAACCACAGAUCACAGACGCUGACGCUGUGAAUAAUUUUCGAGACCAGUGUAACCGUUAAUAAAAAUCAAAUAUCCCGGCCAAUUCCGGUGUAAUUAAACAGAAUAUAACUAUAAGCAAAAAAACACGAGACGAAAUCAUCAUCCAUUGUGUCCACAAUAUAAAAUAUACGAG